rnacentral:rRNA from 1 species
UACCAGCACCCCGAGUGGUCGGGACGGUUAUUGGGCCUAAAGCAUCCGUAGCCGGUUCUGCAAGUCCUCCGUUAAAUCCAGCUGCUCAACAGAUGGGCCGCGGAGGAUACUACAGAGCUAGGAGGCAGGAGAGGCAAGCGGUACUCAGUGGGUAGGGGUAAAAUCCGUUGAUCCAUUGAAGACCACCAGUGGCGAAGGCGGCUUGCCAGAAUGCGCUCGACGGUGAGGGAUGAAAGCUGGGGGAGCAAACCGG